UAGGCAUGUGAUGACUAAAUUUCUUAUUUUAAGUCAUUUAAGUUAGGUUUUGUUAUGCUAUUUUGGACAAAAAGUGCAGAGCAGAGAUGAUAGAUUAUUAGAACAGUCUCCAGGGCCUCACUGUUACUGCGUUCCUCACAGGGGCCUUCAUGAUUGAUGAUGUGCUUCAGUUUACUGCUGUGUCAGGUGAGAGGGUCAGAGCAAGGCUCCACACAGGUUACUGCCUCCCUGGCCUACUUAGGACACAGUAGAUUCAUGAUCGAGGGCUGGAACUGGUAGAUUAGAGCAGCCAGACUGGCCCUUCCCUGCCACAGGAUUGUAUAAUAGAACAUGGCACCACCAGGCAUUUGUGACCGUGGAUGUGUUCAUUAUUUAUGUAUAUUUAGAUGUGUGUGAUACUUGGCAUGGUUUGAAAGAAUUUAUUCUGAAAGCCAGGAUCAUUUUAAUCUUUGUGUGUCAAUUCAGUGUAAUGUUGGGGCCUUUGAAAAGUUGAUUAAGAAAUUAGGGAACAUUCCCAGUUCCUUCAUGUUACCUGUUUAGUUCUCUCUGGAAAGGAAGACACUUGGACCAGCUGUUCGGCUGUUUUGUUUUGUUCUGUUUCCAUGAUAUUCUAUGAAUCUCCAUGGCUUUAGAUACUGUGACUUAUUUUCCCUUUAGCCCAAAUUGUUGAUUCAGUCUUAAGAAUACUAUUUUUUGAUGCCCCUUGUGUGUGCACACUGUCUAGAUUGAUGCUACCUUUGCUAAAAAUGUCGUAAGAUAAAGAACUAGCUGUUUAGAACCUGCACUUCAAAGAUAAACCGGGAAGCUGCCCUCUGUGCCAAAAGUAAAGUGUACAAUGUUUACAGAUGGGUGACGUUUGCACUGCCAUAGGGAAUGGUGAGACUAUGUUACCAGACCCUUAGAUUUAUGAGUAGGUGGUUGCAGUUAAGCCUAUGAGAGGAUCUGUUGAGCCUUUUAAGGCUAAGCUGGUAAGAGUUCCGAGACAGGUGGUUGGUUAGAGUGAUUUCCUAGACCUCACUUGGGUCUUUCUGUUGACAGUUCUUCAUGGCUUCAAGCAGAUACCAUAUGCUUUCUUUAGAGGAGCUGCCAGCCCUCCCUCCUGUGAGAGAUUGUCGCGUAGACAUUUUGAAAUCUUUCGAUGUAAUGUGCAAUCCCAAGUAAUGCCAUUAUUGGUGAAUGUAGCAUUGUUAAACUCUUGCUGUAGGUUAUUUCUGAUCUUCCCUUGAUAGCCUUCUUUUUUUUGUUUUUUUGUGUUUGUUUUGUUUUCAGAGACUAAAGUCUCACUAUUUGGUUGACCUAGAACUUGCUUUAUGACUAGGCUGUCCCCAAACUCACAGAGAUCUGCCUUUCUGCCACCAUGCCCAUCCUCAGUAGUUUUCUGAAUGACCGAUGUCACAGAAAGUGAUCUCACAUCUGUGGUGUUGCUUUCCCAGUUUAUGUCAUUGCAUAGGCACAGCACAGUAGAAUCCCGUUUCUUAGACUGGAGGAGUCCGAGAUAAGCUAAAAAGGCUAGUAGUUCCUUCAGUGGUUUUAGAGCUUGGCAGAUGCUUUACUGAAGAUCAGCAUUGUGUUGUGACUCUUGAGGGCCAAUAUGAGCAUUUAAUUUGUUACCCAAAGGUGCUUUGUAUUUUUAAACAGCAAGUACUUUGAUGUGUGUAGACAUUUCCCUUCGUUUUCCCUCCCUCCCUCCCCAUUGCGUUUGAACAUUGUUUAUGCCAGAGGCCAUCUGUCACUCUGGGUGUUUAGAAGUGCAGUAUACUUAAGUAGGGUCCUUCUUCAGCCUGUCCUGAGCAGUGUUGUGGUUACAGAGUGGGACCAUGAGCUCUCUCAGAGAGGAGGGAAGCUGUGAGGGCAAGCUGGCUUCCUUUGUGGGGGUGUUGGGGUUUGUUUGAGCACUAAGGAAUUUGAGGUCAGUCUUCCCCCUCUUCCUGCCCAUAGUUUUCACUUUCCUUUCAGUAAGAACCACCCCUUAAAAGAAAACAGGAGGAGAUGCAGUGCUUUUGGCCUUAGCCAGCAGCUUGGGGCCUACUCUGGAAGUUGUAAGCUACAGUUUUUCUUACCUGUAAAGCCAGCACACACACCUACCUACCCUUCUACCUCAGUUUAUUGUGGAGACUAUGGAGGAGCAACUCUUAACAACUCUGACUGCCUUGAAGGUGGAGGAAGCUUGUAGUCUUGGUCAACUGUGCUCUGAGGUUUAUAUUGAGAAUUCUUUAUGUUCUGGAAGUGUUUACUUCUCCUUGAUGCCUGCUUAGUAGAACCUGCAUUGUUUGCUGUAAGUCUCUGCUCACCUGCUCGUCCUUUCCUUGGCACCAGGCUCUUGAUUAGGAAGAGUCAUCUCCAGAUGCUUUGAGAAGCACAUGUAAGUUUCCGUAGCACACUCUGCUGAUGGAGCGCUUGCUCUUCUGUGGGCUUGCUGUGUAGGAACUGGUUCUGCAUACACUUGAGUAGCUGGCAUAAGAUGCCCUGCUGCUGGUGUGCAGGAGGAGGUUUCAUGGCAUUCCCAGUCUGGUGCUUGCCAGUGCAGGAGCAAACGAGGGUAAUAAACUGAGAAGAACGGCAGCUUACUAACGAGGCCAGAGGGAAAUGUUUCCGUGUGUCCUUGUGUAACUUUUUACAGCGCCACUAAGUUAAUAGCCCUGUACCUGGGUGUUUGCACUAUGUAAUGCUUCUAAUGCCUUUUUAUUGUGUUUUUGUGUGAUUAAACAAUUUUCAUUUCACUGUG
rnacentral:lncRNA from 1 species